GACGUAGGGGCCCAGCGUUGUUCGGAAUUACUGGGUGUAAAGGGUUCGUAGGCGGUGCGGCAAGUUGGGAGUGAAAUCUCUGGGCUUAACCCAGAGGCUGCUUCCAAAACUGCUGUGCUUGAGUGUGGGAGAGGCGCGUGGAAUUGCAGGUGUAGCGGUGAAAUGCGUAGAUAUCUGCAGGAACACCCGUGGCGAAAGCGGCGCGCUGGACCACUACUGACGCUGAGGAACGAAAGCUAGGGGAGCAAACAGG
rnacentral:rRNA from 1 species